AUCCANUAAGUAAGGCCGNCCAGUGGUGAAAUUCGGCUUAUUAGAUACNNUGGUAGUCCACGCGGUAAACGAUGAAUGNUAGGUGUGGCNGGGCAAAGNCCGUCGGGGUCCGCNGCAAACGCAUUAAGCAUUCCACUGNGGGAGUACGUUCGCAAAGAAUGAAACUCAAAAGGAAUUGACGGGGACCCGCAACAAGCGGUGGAGCAUGUGGUUUAAUUCGAAGCAACGCGAAGAACCUUACCAAGUCUUGACAUCNCCAAUGAAUGUCUGGUAAAGCAGGCAGACCUUCGGGACCAUUGGAGACAGGUGGUGCAUGGUUGUCGUCAGCUCGUGUCGUGAGAUGUUGGGUUAAGUCCCGCAACGAGCGCAACCCUUAUCCUUAGUAGCCAGCGAGUAGAGUCGGGCACUCUGGGGAGACUGCCAGGGAGAACCUGGAGGAAGGUGGGGAUGACGUCAAAUCAUCAUGCCCCUUAUGAUUUGGGCUACACACGUGCUACAAUGGCGUAAACAAAGGGAAGCGAAGUGGCGACAUGGAGCGAACCCCAAAAAUAACGUCUCAGUUCGGAUUGUAGUCUGCAACUCGACUACAUGAAGCUGGAAUCGCUAGUAAUCGCGGAUCAGAAUGCCGCGGUGAAUACGUUCCCGGGUCUUGUACACACCGCCCGUCACACCAUGGGAGUCAGUAACGCCCGAAGUCAGUGACCCAACCUUAGGGAAGGAGCUGCCGAAGGCGGGACGGAUAACUGGGGUGAAGUCGUAACAAGG
rnacentral:rRNA from 1 species